AGGGCUGUAGUUCAGUUGGGUAGAACGUCUGUCUGAUAAGCAGAAAAUCGGUGGUUCAAGUCCACUCAGCCCUACCA
rnacentral:tRNA from 1 species